GGUUAAUUUGAAUCAAGAAUAAAUUUGGAAUUGUAUCUCAUGUCACAAUGACUUAUCUAUUUACGGGAAAUGUUAUUGGAACAUGAUUUUGUUAUUUACAUGACAUGACAUGACAUGAUAAGGAUUCUGGAAUGACCUUGUUAAUUGUCCAAGAUUUCGGUAUUUGUAAUCAUCUGGGUUUUAUCCAAUAUGCAUACAUUAUGUAACAUCGAAUUAUAACUAAAAACAGCUGUUUAUAACUUGUGAAAAACAAUGUCAUUGUCACGCCCAUAUGCUCAUUUUUCCCCCUCCCAUCCUGCUAUGAAAAUGGGGUAUAAAUAUAACUGACGUAUGAAUACAAUUUGAAUUGGUUAUUGAACACGUCUCUGCUAUUCAUUUCCAAUUUCCAGAGCUCUGUAUGAGUUGGCAAAUAUCCAUCAUCCACAAAGGGCCAGGCUGAUUUUAUCCCCAACAAAUUGGUGUCAGAAGUUUGGGUGCAAUUAGGAACGAGGUUGCAGGUAAGGGGGUCUUUAGCCCCUUGGGGACACAACUUCUGGAAUUUAAGGGUAUCAUGAUGGAGUAUUUCUGUCGUGUGUCCUUAAGGGGUUGGGGACCUUUGCCUGCUUCUGCCAUCCUCCCACACAUUGCAUUUCUUGUUUUAAUGGGGUUUUUUCACUAUUUACAUUUUUAAAGGGGAUUUUCACAGGAUAAUGUCUUUGGUAGACAUGGUAUUUUGUUAAGUCUUAGGUAGACUUCUAUUACUCCACGGGUUGGAGGAUUGCCUUUGGUAGGUAGUAGUAGUUAUUGUGCACAUUUCCUCUUUGGUAAGAGGUUCACCUUUGGCCAGGUGUUAAAAAUAAUUUCAAGCCUUUGGUAGGCUGUGAUGUACCUGUGAUGUACACUUACAUAUGGGAGACGUCCCUAGAUCCCUCUUUGGUAGAGGUUGCCUUUGGUAGGUUAUAAAACAGAUUUCCAGUCUUUGGUGGACUAUGGUAUUUAUUUAACGUAGAUGUCAAUUUUGCAGACUACAAUGGUUUAAAAAAAAAAAAGGGGGGUUAAAAGGUAUGAUGGAUGUUUGGCAUUACUCCGGCUUGCUAAUUUAUGUGCUAUUUUAUGAUGUGCAACGCUGAUUUUAAGCAUAAAGUCUUAAUUGAGGGAAUGUAAAAAGUACAUGUAAAGGUGAUGAUGAAUAAUAGAGGUUAUUUAAGGGGGGCUACAAAUUCUAGAACUAACAUGAUUUCUCUGCAUGUAUGUAUGUUUGCAUAAUGAGCCCUUUAUUUUUAUACUUGGUCAAAAGUACUAUAAGCCCACUACACUUUUUCAUGAGAGUGGGAUGUAUGAUUGUUUAUAUGAUGAGCCCUUUAUUUUCAUAUUGGGACAAAAAGUCACUUCAUUCAAAACGUCAAACACCACAUUCUUUCUGCCCUGUGUGUUUGUUGCAGAGAACUUAUGUUGUAAAUUUAGAAGAGAGCAAAAUGUAUAUUUUCAGCGUUCCAACACAUGCUUCAUAUUGUGCUGUAAGCUAACUUGUAGUAUUCCAGUAUGUCACAUGUUGUAUGUGCUUUAAAUUGUAUGUAUUCUGUAAAUUGUUGUAUGGGGUUGCUGAGAUUUUAUUGCUUGCGACCCAAACUGUGAAGAAGUGGGUUUGAAAUUUUGGUCAUGGAAUAUAGGAUCAGAAAACCAUGGCCAAAGGUUUUUACCUGUGUUGAUAUGACUUUUGGAAACUCAAAUUGACCGGUCAAAAUUUUGCCAUGCCUUUAACAUGGAGUAGUAUAAAUAUUUUGAGUCUUUGAGAGUUCUGACAAAUGCAGGUGAUACCAUGUCUGUGUAAUCUGGUCCAAAUGUUCUAUAAGCGUAUAAGAGAGAAAUUCCAUUGACAGGUUUCAUAUGUCGCAACUGGUUAAUGCAAGUGUUAUACAAAUGUUUAAGUCAAACGCGUUAUAUGGCCGUACGGGAUCCCUUCUGUAAAAAAUAAAAAAUAAACCCUUUGGUACCAGAAAUCUUAAAUAAAUCCAAUACAAACUAAAAUUGGUAUACCUUACAAUAAUAUGUUCUGAAUGCAGCUGUUAGAAGUUUAUUCUGUGUGAAUGAUGAUUGUCAUAAAUGUUUGUUUUGGUUACUCAUUUUGAAGUGUGCAGUUUAAUUGUCAUGUAUGUUAAUGGGUAUUUUGCUGUGUUAUUUUAAAUUAUAUUUGAAUAAGUUUGUCUUAGUAUUGAUACAGAUGAAAAUGGCAGCGUAAUAAUCUAUUAAAUAACUGAUUUAUUAUUGAAUACUUGUCCAAGAGCAAUAUGAGUUGUAGUCUUAAGAAAGAAAAAAAAGAGGGAGUCUGUUUUUGUAAAUUUUAGCUGAUUUCCAAAAUUCUGUUGCAAUAAUGGACUUCCUGCCAAAAUUUGACUUUCCUGUCCAGUUGCCAGGUGCUCUGAUCUAAUCUUAAAGCAGUACUGCUUGCAUUGUUUGCAGACAUGCAUAUUGCACAAACAUGAGAACCAAAUUAUGUCUGUCACAUAGUGUGACAUUUAUCAAUUUAUUUUGGAUUGAGUUAAUUGCCUGUCCAUGAAUAUGCUUUUUGUAUUGGCAUGUCUGCUGGAUAUCUGCUACAUGUUUUCUGUGCUAUAAGAUGAUGUGUGAUAUUACAAUGAGUAUGAAGAAUAUUUAAAGAAUAUUUGCAUGUCAUUAACGCAAGCCUUUAGUGUCUUUUUACAACAGAUUAAAAAAAACGCUGAUCAGCCAACAAGAAAGGGGUCCCUGGGAAAGAAAAAGAAAAAAUAUAUCAUUUGCUUUUCAAAAUCGUGGAUCCACGUUUCAGUAUUAUUAGGGGAGUAUUUAGAGUUAACGCUACUUUUAAAGUGCAUUGCAUUAUUUAAGAAAAGAAAAAUGUGUUACGUUAUAUGGUUAUAUAACAAGAAAAAUUAUGGAUGUAUAGGAUAGGUUUUUUCCAAGAUUAAGAUUCAUCUAGUAUGCCUCAUUGAUUAUAGGAAAAUGAUGAAAUGGUAUUUUUAAUAGAGAUCAGAUAAUUUCUUUUGAGGCAAUUCUAAACUACUGUAUUAUAUUUGUAUUGGUAUAUUGAAAGCAUUUUGCAGACCCAGAAGAGAAUAAAUAAUAUAAUAAUAAUAAAAGGAACCAUACUAUGGGAAGAGGUCACCCUAUUAAAUUACUAAGGGGUUAAACUCAUUUUGAUAAGCAUAUAAAAUUUAGUUUUUGUGGUUAGAAUUUUUGAUACUCAAUUUGAACUCAAUUGAAGUAUUAAACCAUAUCCUUGCAGGUAUAGGAAACAGCUGCAAUAUGAUUUUAAUAUUUGCAAUAUAUUAGUGUUCUGACAAUGGAAAAGUUCCUAACCGCAUGUCUGUAUUACACCUAUGACCCAGACUGUCAGUAUUGCAAACCCCAUAUGAAGACUCUGCUUUCACUGUUUAUGUAUACACCCCUAGACAACCGUGCUAUACAAACACAAUAAAUCUUCAAAAGCUUAUUAAUAUUAUAUCUGUGUGGUACACAAAUAGGUGUACACAAAGAGGGGGUGUGAGUUAAGUCAUCUCGACCUUCAUAUGGAAUAUGCUUCCUCCUUGUUCACUUUUGGUCAAACUGUUGGUCUGUGACUGGCCCUCUUUGAACUGAAUUUCUUGGGAAGAUUCAUGAGAAAGAUACAGCAGGUUGUUUUGGAUAUAAAGAAAGAGGGAAAAGUAUGUUGUAUCGGUCACAAAAGGAUUGUGAUCUUAAGCAGGCGAGACAAAGAAAGUUU